rnacentral:rRNA from 1 species
GCAUAUCAAUAAGCGGAGGAAAAGAAACCAACAGGGAUUGCCUCAGUAACGGCGAGUGAAGCGGCAACAGCUCAAAUUUGAAAUCUGGUCCCCCCGGGGCCCGAGUUGUAAUUUGGAGAGGAUGCUUUUGGGUUGCCACCGGUCUAAGUUCCUUGGAACAGGACGUCGCAGAGGGUGAGAAUCCCGUACGUGACCGGCGAGGCGCCCUCCGUAAAGCUCCUUCGACGAGUCGGGUUGUUUGGGAAUGCAGCCCUAAAUGGGAGGUAAAUUUCUUCUAAAGCUAAAUACCGGCCAGAGACCGAUAGCGCACAAGUAGAGUGAUCGAAAGAUGAAAAGCACUUUGGAAAGAGAGUCAAAAAGCACGUGAAAUUGUUGAAAGGGAAGCGCUUGCCAUCAGUCUCGACGGCGGCCGUUCGGCCUCUCUUCUGAGUGGUUUAUUCGGCCGCCGCCGGGCCAGCAUCGGUUCCGGCGGUCGGACAAAGGUUUGGGGAACGUAGCUCCCCCGGGAGUGUUAUAGCCCCUUUCGCAAUACGGCCAGCCGGGACCGAGGUCCACGCUCCGGCUAGGAUGCUGGCGAAAUGGUCGCAAGCGGCCCGUCUUGAAACACGGACCAAGGAGUCUAACAUCUAUGCGAGUGUUUGGGUGUCAAACCCGUGCGCGCAAUGAAAGUGAACGGAGGUGGGAACCCGCGAGGGCGCACCAUCGACCGAUCCUGAUGUCCUCGGAUGGAUUUGAGUAAGAGCAUAGCUGUUGGGACCCGAAAGAUGGUGAACUAUGCCUGAAUAGGGUGAAGCCAGAGGAAACUCUGGUGGAGGCUCGCAGCGGUUCUGACGUGCAAAUCGAUCGUCAAAUUUGGGUAUAGGGGCGAAAGACUAAUCGAACCAUCUAGUAGCUGUUCUGCGA